rnacentral:rRNA from 1 species
UACGUAGGUGGCGAGCGUUGUCCGGAUUUACUGGGCGUAAAGAGCGCGCAGGCGGUCUUGUAAGUCGAAUGUGAAAGCCCCUGGCUCAACCAGGGAGGGUCAUUCGAUACUGCUCGACUUGAAGGCAGGAGAGGGAAGCGGAAUUCCCGGUGUAGUGGUGAAAUGCGUAGAUAUCGGGAGGAACACCAGUGGCGAAGGCGGCUUACUGGACCAUAACUGACGCUGAGGCACGAAAGCGUGGGUAGCAAACAGG